rnacentral:rRNA from 1 species
CUCAGUAACGGCGAGUGAAGCGGUAACAGCUCAAAUUUGAAAUCUGGCCUCACGGUCCGAGUUGUAAUUUGUAGAGGAUGCUUCGAGCAUGGUCUGGCCUAAGUUCCUUGGAACAGGACGUCAUAGAGGGUGAGAAUCCCGUAUGCGGCCAGGUGCCUACGCUCAUGUGAAGCUCCUUCGACGAGUCGAGUUGUUUGGGAAUGCAGCUCAAAAUGGGUGGUAAAUUUCAUCUAAAGCUAAAUAUUGGCCAGAGACCGAUAGCGCACAAGUAGAGUGAUCGAAAGAUGAAAAGCACUUUGGAAAGAGAGUUAAACAGUACGUGAAAUUGUUGAAAGGGAAGCGCUUGCAACCAGACUUGCGCGCGGCCGAUCAUCCGGUGUUCUCACCGGUGCACUCGGCCGUGCUCAGGCCAGCAUCGGUUUUGGCGGCUGGAUAAAGGCCCUAGGAAUGUAGCUCCUCUCGGGGAGUGUUAUAGCCUAGGGUGCAAUGCAGCCUGCUGGGACCGAGGACCGCGCUUCGGCUAGGAUGCUGGCGUAAUGGUUGUAAGCGGCCCGUCUUGAAACACGGACCAAGGAGUCUAACAUCUAUGCGAGUGUUUGGGUGUCAAACCCAUACGCGUAAUGAAAGUGAACGGAGGUGAGAACCCUUAAGGGUGCAUCAUCGACCGGUCCUGAAGUUUACGGAAGGAUCUGAGUAAGAGCAUAGCUGUUGGGACCCGAAAGAUGGUGAACUAUGCCUGAAUAGGGUGAAGCCAGAGGAAACUCUGGUGGAGGCUCGCAGCGGUUCUGACG